rnacentral:rRNA from 1 species
UGGGGAAUAUUGGGCAAUGGGGGAAACCCUGACCCAGCAACGCCGCGUGAAGGAAGAAGGCUUUCGGGUUGUAAACUUCUUUUACCAGGGACGAAGAAAGUGACGGUACCUGGAGAAAAAGCCACGGCUAACUACGUGCCAGCAGCCGCGGUAAUACGCAGGUGGCGAGCGUUGUCCGGAUUUACUGGGUGUAAAGGGCGAGUAGGCGGUCUUGCAAGUCAGAUGUGAAAUACCGGAGCUUAACUCCGGGGCUGCAUUUGAAACUGUAGGACUUGAGUGAUGGAGAGGCAGGCGGAAUUCCCGGUGUAGCGGUGGAAUGCGUAGAUAUCGGGAGGAACACCAGUGGCGAAGGCGGCCUGCUGGACAUUAACUGACGCUGAGGAGCGAAAGCGUGGGGAGCAAACAGGAUUAGAUACCCUGGUAGU